rnacentral:rRNA from 1 species
GAGUAAAGUGGCGCACGGGUGAGUAACACGUAGGUUAUCUGCCUUUUAGUGGGGAAUAACACCGGGAAACCGGUGCUAAUGCCGCAUACGGAAGUAAUUCUAAAGAGGGCCUCUAUUUAUAAGCUCUCGCUAAAAGAAGAGCCUGCGUCGCAUUAGCUUGUUGGUGGGGUAAUGGCCUACCAAGGCUACGAUGCGUAUCCGGUCUGAGAGGAUGAUCGGACACACUGGAACUGAGACACGGUCCAGACUCC